UGGUUGCAUUCUGCCGGAAGUGUAGUUGAAAAGUCGGGUAUUAACUUCUGUUCAUCUAGUCUGCCCAGUUCGUAGUAAUGUAAACCUGCACAUAGUAUUGUUUGCUCGGGUAGGCAUUGGAAGGGGUCUGCUCAUAACAAACAGACUGUUGCAGCGACUUAGAAAUGGACGAGAGGGUCUCCUCCGGAGUGUUUAAAGAGCAGUUCGCUUUUCUGCGAGCGGCUAUAGAGAAUGUGCUAUGCGAGUUCACCGAUUCCGUCGACAAAAGUUUUUCUCAUUUUCAACUGGAGAUGUGCCGCAAAGAGAAGGAAAUUGAAAGCUUGAGGCUGCGCCUCGAGAUCUCGCAGUCCGAAGUGAGAGCCGAACGGGGUCACGCGAGCCCGGCGCUCAGAAUCCUCACAAGAGGUCCCAACAAAGGGAAUGAGAGGGGCGUAGAGCGCACACCGGGGGUCCAGCUGCGGACACCAGUCAUCGGCAGGCAAGCAGGCUAUAAAGAGGGUGGCCAAGUGAAUCAAGAGCUGACAUUCAAGAAGAAACCGGCGUUGUUGAUCCCAGAUCGUCUCACCGGACAGAUUUCCAAGUCAGUCGGUUGGAUUCAGCGCGAAGACGAUCACACUGCAGCCCUCACAAAGACGUUUUCCAAAAGCUGUGAAGUUGGCGCUCCUGUUCGUCUGUCUCCUGAUCGUAAUGGUUCCAGAGACAAGUGGCCAUCAUCUGAGUGGAACAGAAAAGACAGCAAAGCGGACAGUCGAGUUCCAACUGCCGAAGAGCUCGUUGACCGCAAACUGGUGUUUAUUAAAGAGGAAGGCCAAGAGCAGUGUUCAGGUGACUUUAAUGUAGAACUCUUUGGUCAGCAGGCACUGCACCUCAAGGUAGAAGAUCCCGAACAAAGCACAGAGUUGGUGUUGAAACACAGCAGACCUGAUCAGUCUUUAAGCAGAACACAUGGAGAGGAUGCAGUCUCUUCUGCAAGUGGCGUAAGAGAUGAAGAAGAAAGAGAGGCCUCCUCUGGACUGUCAUUCUGUCAGAUCUCCCUUCAUAAUGGUGCACGAUACAACCAUCAAGAACAUGGAAAUCACAGCUGUUUGAAAAGUUCUCAAUCUGGGGCUCCUAAUGUCCAGGGUUCAUUUUCACUUGGGUUUGCUCCGUCUCUCGCAUGUACACUGGGGCUUGAGGCUGGUGAAUCCCAGAAACGCCUCUUCUCGGCUCCUCAUUGUGUUACAGAAGCUGUGACCUCGCCAAAGCCUACCCAGAACCGUGCAGAGAGGACGUGGCCUGACUGUGAUGAGCAUGGGCUUAUGCAGAAUAACGCGGCACCCAAAAAAAAAAUCUACAACUGCCCAGAAUGUGGGAAAGGGUUCAGGUGGAAGAGUAAGCUGCGUGAACAUCAGACCAUGCACUUUGGGGAGAAGCCGUAUUUCUGUGCUGUGUGUGGGAAGCGAUUCAGUUACAAACGAAGCAUUCAGCGUCACCAGGUCCUGCAUACUGGGGAGAAAUGCCACCCAUGCCCCGAGUGUGGCAAGCUGUUUACCACUAAAGAGUAUGUUCAGAAGCACCAGAUUACUCACACUGGAGAGCAUCCUUAUCCAUGCACCCAGUGUGGGCGGAGGUUCAAAAGUAAGCCCAACCUCAAACAGCACCAGAGAAUCCAUGGCAUAGGGAAGUCCUACUGCUGCAGCAAAUGUGGGCGAAGUUUCAAAUGGAAGUCGAGUCUCUCGGUUCACCUGAAGGUUCAUUCUGCAGAAGUGAGUGAAGCAGCACGGUAGUGAGGUGUCGGUAGUAAUACCAUUUUGACUUCCGAGGCAACCCUGUCUCCGUGCGACCAGAUGUGAUUUGUCAUCCUAAGUGAUGGAGGAGAUCGACCCAAAUCGGGAUCACUUCAUUUAUCAGCUGCUUCUCUCUCUCUCUCUGCAAUUUGCACGUAGCAUUUUGGUAAUGAGAAUUUUCAUCAAUAAUGGACGUGAAUUCUUAAAUGAUGUAGAACACCUUUUUUCCUUGUACUGUAAUUUUUAACAGAGUAUUUUAAACAGCUUUGCAAGUAACUAACGGCUGUGCUUUCAGUAGCACCUUAACAUUGAAGCACAACAUCAUAUAUGUUUAUCUCCUUUUUCACUCCUUGUUCGUCACACCGCCUUUUGGGUUAAACAAAACUCCUCAACCAGUCCAGUACUAGAGGUAGUAGUAGUAGUAGUGAUGUCAUGUAUAUAGUGAUAUAUGUCAACCCGACAUGGAACACCUCACAGAUGUCGACGAGAAUAUGUUUAAAAUCUCUCCACAGAUUAAAAUCCUAAAUUGUGUCUACACCCGUAAUGGCUCCUUUAAACCAAUUAGCGUUCCUUUAGUCACUGACGGGCAUCUUGAGAGUGUUAUGAAAAGUAUAAAUGUUUUUCUAAAAGGCGGCUCUCUCGGUGCUGAACAGUUUCACGUGUUGAAGGAAUCCAUUCAUUUUCUGAAUUGGUUUGAGUUUAACAAAUGGUGGUGGUUCACAGGCUGCUGUAUGUUUUGCAGAUUAUGUUGGCAGAACCCUAAUUUAUGUGCUCCGAUGCCCCCACUGCCUACUUCUGUCACAGUUGCCAUGGUAACCUGAACUUGAGCUGUACAUUUUGAGAAAAUGUGUUCUUCACACCAAGGUCUGCUAUUCUGUCCUCUGAACAAAUGGAAAUCGGCCAAACAAGCGGACUGUGUCUCGAUUUUAAGUUGAAGCGUACGUUCUGUAGGCCUUUCAUCUGUCAGCUUGAAGGCUAUCGCACUUUUAAUUUAUUUGAUAGCAUUAAUAGAACGAAUUCCCAUCGCCCUAUUUGCACCAUGAAACACUAUUUAUUUAUUUAUUAUUUUGUAUGGAUGUAUGUGAUUAUUUAUUUAAAAAUCAAAUAGACAUUAGGAAAGUUUCAACCUGAGAGUGAUGGAGUCCAUUACUUGGAUUCUGGGGCUGUGAUUGGGCAGUGCUUAGACCAGGGGGUCCUCAGUCAGAGUCCUGGAGGGCCGCAGCGGCUGCAGGUUUAUAUUCCAACUUUUUAAAAAACCGUCCGUGCUGAUAAUGAAACUUGCUAUUAAACUAUUUAGCUUGUUCAUGCUUGCAUUCAUCCAAGAGCAAUUUGAGUUGCACUGUAGAGUUUCCUUCUGUCAGAACAUUAGCCAAGUGUUAUGUGGACCAGAACAGAUUUUAAACUUCACGGUCCUUCCGAUUCUCCUCUCAUUCGUUUCUAAACAUUUUUUUAUCACAGAUACUUCAUGGUAAGCACAUGAGCCGGGGUGUUGCUGGUUUAUUGGUUAUCUGCUUCUCAUUAUCUAAUGUCUGAUUAAGAAACUGGGCAACAAUUACAACUUAAAUGUAGCUUUCUAAAAUAGGCAAUUUAGGGUUCUGAAUGGUAGCAGGCAAGAUAACUAAAAUUAAGCCCACAUAAUGUACUGCUUAAGUCGUAAAUAAAAAGGUUCUAAUUAAGAGAUUGGUUAAAGUGAAAACCUCCAGAACUGUAAUUGAGGACCUCCAAUCUACAAAGGAACUAAAAUGUGUCUCUGAUGAAUAAAAGUACUAACAAGACAUCGAGUUAAACACCAGCAAGGACUGAGUUCUAAUUCGGGCGCUGGCGGGAUUGAAAACCCGUAGCCACUGCGGCCGUCCAGGACCGUGACUGAGGACCCCUGGCUUAGACCCACCACUACCCCCCUCUCCUCCCACAUAUGUGUGUGGCAGGUGAAUUGUUGACCCUUUGUUGGCUCAUUAUGAGUGAACGUGGCUACAGGUGUGACUGUGCACUGUCAGGGUCUGGUACCCCAAAGCUGGAUAGUCGGCCCGUCCCACUUUGAAAAUGAAUGGUCACAUUGUAAUGCAAGGCUCUCCAGGACUGGAGUUGGAGACCCCUGUUGUAAUGUAUAGAAACAAAAUGAGCGAUCAUGGGGGGGGGGAGAAUGUCUUGGCGCUGCUGUCUCCCCACUGCAAAGUUCUCGGUGUGAAUCCAACUGUCUGUGGGAUGUUUGCACACUCGCCCCUCAUCUGCCAGGGUUCACCUCUCAUAUCCCGACGACAUGCAUGUUUAGGUUAGCUGCCCUUCUAGACAUUUCCCAAGGGGAAAUUCACAUACUCCAGCAGCAGCAGCAGCAUACUGAUAAAAAACAAUAUUAAAUUAAAGAGUGA